rnacentral:rRNA from 1 species
CCUACGGGUGGCAGCAGUGGGGAAUAUUGCACAAUGGGCGAAACCCUGAAGCAGCGACGCCGCGUGAGGGAAGAAGGCCUUCGGUAUGUAAAGCUCUAUCAGCAGGGAAGAAAGUGACGGUACGUGAGUAAGCAUCCACGGCUACCUACGUGCCAGCAGCCGCGGAAAUACGUAGGGGGGACGCGUUAUCCGGUUUUACUGGGUGUAAAGGGAGCGUAGACGGGAGUGCAAGUCUGGAGUGAAAGGCGGGGGCUCAACCCCCGGACUGCUGUUGAAACUGUAAGGCUGGAGUGCAGGAGAGGUAAGUGGAAUGCCUGGUGUAGCGGUGAAAUGCGUAGAUAUCAGGAGGAACACCGGUGGCGAAGGCGGCUUACUGGAGCGUAACUGACGCUGAGGCUCGAAAGCGUGGGGAGCAAACAGGAUUAGAUACCCGUGUAGUC